rnacentral:rRNA from 1 species
UACAGAGGUCUCAAGCGUUGUUCGGAUUCAUUGGGCGUAAAGGGUGCGUAGGUGGCGCCGUAAGUCGGGUGUGAAAUUUCGGAGCUUAACUCCGAAACUGCAUUCGAUACUGCGGUGCUUGAGGACUGGAGAGGAGACUGGAAUUCAUGGUGUAGCAGUGAAAUGCGUAGAGAUCAUGAGGAACACCGGUGGCGAAGGCGGGUCUCUGGGCAGUAACUGACGCUGAGGAGCGAAAGCGUGGGGAGCGAACAGG